UACGGAGGGGGCUAGCGUUGUUCGGAAUUACUGGGCGUAAAGCGCGCGUAGGCGGACCUGCAAGUCGGGGGUGAAAGUCCGAGGCUCAACCUCGGAACUGCCUUCGAUACUGCGGGUCUCGAGUCCGGGAGAGGUGAGUGGAAUUCCUAGUGUAGAGGUGAAAUUCGUAGAUAUUAGGAAGAACACCAGUGGCGAAGGCGGCUCACUGGCCCGGUACUGACGCUGAGGCGCGAAAGCGUGGGGAGCAAACAGG
rnacentral:rRNA from 1 species